rnacentral:tRNA from 1 species
GGCCCGCUCGGCGCUCCGGCCGGCGGCGUCGGCCAGCUGGCGCCCGGCCUCGGCCAGCUCGGAACUGGCCCGGGUCA